rnacentral:rRNA from 1 species
CCUACGGGAGGCUGCAGUGAGGGAUAUUGGUCAAUGGGGGAAACGCUGAACCAGCAACGCCGCGUGAGGGAAGACGGUUUUCGGAUUGUAAACCUCUUUCCUCUGUGAAGAUAAUGACGGUAGCAGAGGAGGAAGCUCCGGCUAACUACGUGCCAGCAGCCGCGGUAAUACGUAGGGAGCAAGCGUUUUCCGGAUUUACUGGGUGUAAAGGGUGCGUAGGCGGCUUUGCAAGUCAGAAGUGAAAUCCAUGGGCUUAACCCAUGAACCGCUUUUGAAACUGCAGAGCUUGAGUGGAGUAGAGGUAGGCGGAAUGCCCGGUGUAGCGGUGAAAUGCGUAGAUAUCGGGAGGAACACCAGAGGCGAAGGUGACUUACUGGACUGUAACUGACGCUGAGGCUCGAAAGCGUGGGGAGCAAACAGGAUUAGAUACCCGGGUAGUC